CGCCCUAGGCCCCGCCCCCUCACCGCCUCGCCCCGCCCAGACCGGAUGACGGAGCGUUCCGGGAGCCUCUGGCCCGGGCCUCCCCAGCCUGGCGCGCGCGGUCAAGGCUCAUCCAGCAAAGGCAGGAAGAAGUAGUUUUCCCAGACUGUGGAACGGUUUAGGAGGCCGUGUUCCAUAAGAACUCCACGCUCUCCCCGGCAUACGCCCUGGGGUCCCAGCUUAGCUGCAAAGUAAAAGAUGUGCACCAGGAGCAGAGUAGGAGCCAGGCACAAGAAGCAUCACUUUGGGAGAGGAAGACGGCUGAUUCUGUAUCUGAGACAGAGAAAACACAAGGCAAGCCCAGAAUAUCUUAUUGUGCGAGAAUACAGUGAGAUGCUCAAAGAAUGGCAGAGGUGAGAAAGGACACAGACUGAAAGCGAUCCUUCUGGCCAAGUCUGGGACAAGUGGAGCUUCGGCCGAAUGAGUCCAAGGAACUUCCUGUACUUCCCACUUGGAGAGAAGGGGGAGCAGAAGCCCCCCCAGGGGCACGAGCCAGGUCAGCUGCUGUCACUGGAGAGACAUGGCUGGACAGCUGGCGUCACAGGACUGACUGAACACCGACUUGGCCUCUGCAUCGUGUUUUCAGACCGCCACGAGCGUGUGCCUCGAUUUCCUUUCUCUAGUGACUGCCGCCAGCUGCCGGUUCUGUGACACUCACAUGCCCGGAGCGCUCAGCUUCAACACACCCACUGGGCAAUCGGGCUGCUGCAUGAAAACACGAGUGAAAAGGGACACUGAAGGGCAGGAGACACCGCAUUCCAGUUGACACACACCGUCCCAUCCCUGGGACGGACGUGCCGUCUCUAGUUAAGGCUUCUUAACAUCACACUAUCCACUAUGGGCGGGAGUUCUGUUUUGUGAACGCAGAGUUUCAACGUCUGUUCCAGUCAGGUGACCUAAACGUUGUUUUAAAUUAAGACGAAAGUCUGGUUGAAGAAAUUCUCCAAAAGAAUAAAAGUUCCCAACGUGAAGUUCUGCACCUCAUGCUUCCUCAAGGAGUGACAUCGUCACCCAUGUUUACCAUGACAGACCUGUACCUUCCCUGGUCCCCAG